UACGACAUUAACCGUUAUCCAAAAUAAUGAGCACUAUCAAACGCUAAAACAUACUUCUGGCAUCACCACCAUUGCUCCAAUCAAAACAUAUACAUUGAAGCAGUACACACGUAUCCUCAUAAACAUAUACAUUAUAGGAUAAAUACGUCAGAGAUUAGGAUUUACCCUUGAAGCGUGUGAACCCAACCUCGAGCAGCCUCACGGUCACCGGAUGAGCACCACCACCUCCAAACUCCUCCAAACCACCAACAUUGCUCAAACAUUGCACCACAAAAUUAGCUCCUCAUGGCCAAUGAAAACAAUAGAUUGAGGUGUCUUUGGGUGCCAACUAGGUAGGGGAUGUGAUUUUGUGGGUUAAAUGGGAUUAGAAUGCACUAAUUUGGGCUAGAAAAUGGGGGCAUUUGAGGAGGAAAUGAAGAACAAGAAGAGAAGAGAAGAAACGAGCAGAGGAGGAAGAAGCAGAAGCAGUGGGCGUGGCUGGGCUCGCUCGGGCACGGGGCAGAUGGGAAGGAAAGGGAAAAAGAAAAAAGGGAAAGAUU
rnacentral:lncRNA from 1 species